GACGAACGCUGGCGGCGUGGAUUAGGCAUGCAAGUCGAACGGUAUAAACCUUUCGGGGUUUAGAGAGUGGCGAACGGGUGAGUAACACGUAGGUAAUCUACCCUCAAAACGGGGACAACCCAGGGAAACUUGGGCUAAUACCGGAUGCGUGCAAACAAUGUUUUUGGCUGUUGUAAUUAUUCACGGAAGUGGAUAGUUAUGAGAGUUUCAGAGCAUAAUUUGCAUAAAAGGUGGCGUAAGCUGCCGUUUGAGGAUGAGCCUGCGUCCUAUUAGUUAGUUGGUGAGGUAAUGGCUUACCAAGGCGAUGAUAGGUAGGCGGCCUUAACGGGUGGUCGCCCACACUGGGAUUGAGAUACGGCCCAGACUCCUACGGGAGGCAGCAGUCGAGAAUAGUCUACAAUGGACGAAAGUCUGAUAGUGCGACGCCGCGUGAACGAAGAAUCCUUUCGGGGUGUAAAGUUCUUUCAGCCGGAAAGAAACGCACGGGUUAAUAACCUGUGUGGAUGACGGUACCGGAAGAAGAAGCACCGGCUAACU
rnacentral:rRNA from 1 species